rnacentral:lncRNA from 1 species
UCCUUUCCAUUUGAAGGUGAUUCCAUUCGAGACCAUUCGAUGAUUGCAUUCAAUUCAUUCGAUGACGAUUCCAUUCAAUUCCGUUCAAUGAUUCUAUUAGAUUCCAUUUAAUGAUGAUUCCAUUCGAUUCCAUUUUGAUGAUGAUUCCAUACGAUUCCAUUAGAUGAUGACUCCUUUCAUUUCCACUCGAUGAUGAUUCCAUUCGUUUCCAUUCGACGAUGAUUCCAUUUGAUUCCGUUCAAUGAUUAUUCCAUUCGAGUCCAUUCGAUGAUUCCAUUCGAUUCUAUUCGAUGAUGAUUGCAUUCGGGUCCAUGGAUUAUUCCAUUCCAUUCCAUUAGAUGAUUCCAUUCGUGGCCAUUUGAUGAUUCUCUUCGAUUCCAUUCGAUAAUUCCGUUUGACUCCGUUUGAUGUUGAUUCCAUUCGAGUCCAUUCAAUGAUAAUUCCAUUCGAUUCUAUGCGAUGAUUUCAUUCCUUUCCAUUUGAUGAUGAUUCCAUUCGAGACCAUUCGAUGAUUGCAUUCAAUUCAUUCGAUGACGAUUCCAUUCAAUUCCAUUUCAAUGAUUCCAUUCGAUUCCAUUUGAUGAUGAUUCCAUUCGAUUCCAUUUGAUGAAGAUACCAUGCGAUUCCAUUAGAUGAUGACUCCUUUCAUUUCCAUUCAAUGAGGAUUCCAUUCGGUUCCAUUUGAUGAUGAUUCCUUUGAAUUCCAUUGGAUGACAAUUCCAUUCAAUACCAAUUGAUUAUGGUUAUUUUUGAUUCCGUUUGAUGAUGAUUAUAUUCGAUUCCAUUUGAUCAUGGUUCCAUUCGAUUCCACUCAAUGAUUCCAUUCGAUUCCAUUCAAUGAUUAUUCCAUUCGAGUUCAUUGACUAUUCCAUUCCAUUCCAUUCGACGAUUCCAAUCGAGUCCUUUCGAUGAUUCUAUUUGAUUGCAUUCGAUAAUUCCAUUCGAUUGCAUUCGAUAAUUCCAUUCGAUUCCAUUUGAGGAUAAUUCCAUUUGAGUCCAUUCGAUGAUUGUUCCAUUCGAUUCUAUUCGGUGAUUCCAUUCGAUUCCAUUUGAUAAGGAUUCCUUUCGAGACCAUUCGAUGAUUCCAUUCAAUUCCAUUCAAUAAUGAUUUCAUUCGAGUCCAUUCAGAUGAUUCCAUUCAAGUCCAUUCGAUGAUUCCAUCUGAUUCCAUUCAAUGAAUCCAUUCGAUUCCAUUCUAUGAUGAUUCCAU